GCCGGGGUGGCCGAGCUAGGUCCAAGGCGCGGGACUCGAGAUCCCGUCCCCGCAAGGGGGCCCGGGUUCAAAUCCCGGCCCCGGCACCA
rnacentral:tRNA from 1 species